rnacentral:rRNA from 1 species
AGUGAACGCUGGCGGUAGGCCUAACACAUGCAAGUCGAACGGCAGCACAGUAAGAGCUUGCUCUUACGGGUGGCGAGUGGCGGACGGGUGAUGAAUACAUCGGAAUCUACUUUUUCGUGGGGGAUAACGUAGGGAAACUUACGCUAAUACCGCAUACGACCUACGGGUGAAAGCAGGGGAUCUUCGGACCUUGCGCGAUUGAAUGAGCCGAUGUCGGAUUAGCUAGUUGGCGGGGUAAAGGCCCACCAAGGCGACGAUCCGUAGCUGGUCUGAGAGGAUGAUCAGACACACUGGAACUGAGACACGGUCCAGACUCCUACGGGAGGCAGCAGUGGGGAAUAUUGGACAAUGGGCGAAAGCCUGAUCCAGCCAUACCGCGUGGGUGAAGAAGGCCUUCGGGUUGUAAAGCCCUUUUGUUGGGAAAGAAAAGCAGCAGGUUAAUACCCCGCUGUUCUGACGGUACCCAAAGAAUAAGCACCGGCUAACUUCGUG